rnacentral:rRNA from 1 species
UGGGGAAUAUUGGACAAUGGGCGAAAGCCUGAUCCAGCCAUGCCGCGUGUGUGAAGAAGGUCUUCGGAUUGUAAAGCACUUUAAGAUGGGAGGAAGGGCAGUAAGCGAAUACCUUGCUGUUUUGACGUUACCGACAGAAUAAGCACCGGCUAACUCUGUGCCAGCAGCCGCGGUAAUACAGAGGGUGCGAGCGUUAAUCGGAAUUACUGGGCGUAAAGCGCGCGUAGGUGGUUCGUUAAGUUGAAUGUGAAAGCCCCGGGCUCAACCUGGGAACUGCAUCGAAAACUGGCGAGCUAGAGUAGGGCAGAGGGUGGUGGAAUUUCCUGUGUAGCGGUGAAAUGCGUAGAUAUAGGAAGGAACACCAGUGGCGAAGGCGACCACCUGGGCUCAUACUGACACUGAGGUGCGAAAGCGUGGGGAGCAAACAGG